rnacentral:rRNA from 1 species
UGCUGCUUUGCUGACGAGUGGCGGACGGGUGAGUAAUGUCUGGGAAACUGCCUGAUGGAGGGGGAUAACUACUGGAAACGGUAGCUAAUACCGCAUAACGUCGCAAGACCAAAGAGGGGGACCUUCGGGCCUCUUGCCAUCAGAUGUGCCCAGAUGGGAUUAGCUUGUUGGUGGGGUAACGGCUCACCAAGGCGACGAUCCCUAGCUGGUCUGAGAGGAUGACCAGCCACACUGGAACUGAGACACGGUCCAGACUCCUACGGGAGGCAGCAGUGGGGAAUAUUGCACAAUGGGCGCAAGCCUGAUGCAGCCAUGCCGCGUGUAUGAAGAAGGCCUUCGGGUUGUAAAGUACUUUCAGCGGGGAGGAAGGUGUUGUGGUUAAUAACCGCAGCAAUUGACGUUACCCGCAGAAGAAGCACCGGCUAACUCCGUGCCAGCAGCCGCGGUAAUACGGAGGGUGCAAGCGUUAAUCGGAAUUACUGGGCGUAAAGCGCACGCAGGCGGUCUGUUAAGUCAGAUGUGAAAUCCCCGGGCUCAACCUGGGAACUGCAUCUGAUACUGGCAGGCUUGAGUCUCGUAGAGGGGGGUAGAAUUCCAGGUGUAGCGGUGAAAUGCGUAGAGAUCUGGAGGAAUACCGGUGGCGAA